UACAGAGGUGGCAAGCGUUGUUCGGAAUUACUGGGCGUAAAGGGCGCGUAGGCGGUUCGUUAAGUCCUGUGUGAAAGCCCACGGCUCAACCGUGGAGGGUCAUUGGAAACUGGGGGACUUGAGUGCAGAAGAGGAAAGCGGAAUUCCACGUGUAGCGGUGAAAUGCGUAGAGAUGUGGAGGAACACCAGUGGCGAAGGCGGCUUUCUGGUCUGUAACUGACGCUGAGGCGCGAAAGCGUGGGGAGCAAACAGG
rnacentral:rRNA from 1 species